rnacentral:rRNA from 1 species
UCGCUAAUGUACCCUGGACACUGGGAUAGCCGGCCGAAAGGCCGGGUAAUACCAGAUGACAUAUCCUGAUCGCAUGGUUGGGAGCUCAAAGGUCCGCCGGUCUGGGAGCAGGCGAUUUCGUAUCAGGUAGUUGGUGAGGUAACGGCUCACCAAGCCGACGACGCGUAGCUGGUCUGAGAGGACGGCCAGCCACAUUGGGACUGAGACACUGCCCAGACUCCUACGGGGGGCUGCAGUAACGAAUCUUCCGCAAUGCACGAAAGUGUGACGGAGCGACGCCGCGUGGAGGUUAAGUCCUUCGGGAUGUAAACUCCUGUCAGGGGUUACCAAGUUCUGAGGAGCCCCAGAGGAAGGCACGGCUAACUCUGUGCCAGCAGCCGCGGUAAUACAGAGGUGCCGAGCGUUAGGCGGAAUCACUGGGCUUAAAGCGCGUGUAGGCGGGUCGGUAAGUGUCUUGUGAAAUCCCACGGGUCAACCGUGGAACUGCUGGGCAUACUGCCGAUCUUGAGGCCCUCAGGGGCUGUCGGAACAAAUGGUGGAGCGGUGA